CAUAGUUUAAUGUAUAUAUUAAAUGAUUUCUGCCCAAUGGGCUAAAUGGCCGCAGUACUUUGACUGUGCUAAGGUAGCAUAAUAAUUUGGCUUUUAAUUAAAGUCGGGAAUGAAAGGAAAACGGGGAAAUUGUCUUUUUAUUACUUUAUAAAUUUAAUUAUUAGGUGAAAAUUCCUAAUUUUAUUAUUAGACGAGAAGACCCUUAGAAUUUAAAAAGUUUUUGUUGGGGCGACAAUAUUACAAAUAACUAAUAUUUAAAUUAACAUGUCAAGAAUGAAAAAAUUACCUAAGGGAUAACAGCAUAAUUUAAGAUUAUGACCUCGAUGUUGGAUUAGGGAAUAAAGGUUAACAAUUUUUAUUGUUCUGUUCGAACCCUACGUGAUCU
rnacentral:rRNA from 1 species